CCUACGGGAGGCAGCAGUGAGGAAUAUUGGUCAAUGGGCUUAAGCCUGAACCAGCCAAGUCGCGUGAGGGAAGACUGCCCUCUGGGUUGUAAACCUCUUUUGUCAGGGAGCAACGCCGGCUACGUGUAGCCGGACGGAGAGUACCUGAAGAAAAGGCAUCGGAAAACUCCGUGCCAGCAGCCGGGGUAAUACGGAGGAUGCGAGCGUUAUCCGGAUUUAUUGGGUUUAAAGGGUGCGUAGGCGGAAUGCCAAGUCAGCGGUAAAAUCGCGGGGCUAAACCUCGCUCCGCCGUUGAAACUGGCGGUCUUGAGUGGGCGAGAGGUAUGCGGAAUGCGUGGUGUAGCGGUGAAAUGCAUAGAUAUCACGCAGAACUCCGAUUGCGAAGGCAGCAUACCGGCGCCCAACUGACGCUGAAGCACGAAAGCGUGGGUAUCGAACAGGAUUAGAUACCCUUGUAGUC
rnacentral:rRNA from 1 species